AAAAGUUGUUCGAAGCGGUCUCAGGCACUGCCAGGUGACCGCUUAGACAUCAACACCCUCUGUAUAUCUACCGCGUUGCUUUGGCGGGACGGCAGCCAGCAGCCCUGCUGGGAAGCUGUCCGUGGGACCUCUUAAGGCCCCGCGGAGCGCCCGUCAGAGAAUCGUCAAACUCAUGUUAAACCGUGAUGUCUGAGCUUUACAAGCAAUAAGUUA
rnacentral:misc_RNA from 1 species